rnacentral:rRNA from 1 species
UACGUAGGGGGCAAGCGUUGUCCGGAUUUAUUGGGCGUAAAGAGCGUGUAGGCGGUUUGGUAGGUCCGCUGUGAAAACUCGAGGCUCAACCUCGAGACGCCGGUGGAAACCAUCAGACUAGAGUCCGGAAGAGGAGAGUGGAAUUCCUGGUGUAGCGGUGAAAUGCGCAGAUAUCAGGAAGAACACGCGGGGCUAAGGCGGCUCUCUAGUACGGUACUGACGCUGAGACGCGAAAGCGUGGGGAGCGAACAGG